UGCCGUCCGCGGACGGCGCCCUGCGGGUCGGUUGCUCGUGUUAUGAACUUACGACCGCCUGCUUACUUAUGCCGCCCUAAUUGAAAGCGGACUGCGUAGCAUACGCGCCGUCGCUGGUGACCAGCUGUCGCGCCGGAGUAUCUUUAUCUUUUUCUUUCUCCUUUCCACUACCGUCCUGCGCACUUUCCUCCUCCUAUAUAUAUCAAGAAUUAUAAAAAUUACAUAUGCCUUAACAAAUCAUAGAAAUAAUGUGUAAAUGUAUAAGUAUGUCGCGUGCGUUUUGCAGUUAUAAAUCUGACAGAUCAGCUUAUCUAUAUCGCAUGUUACACCUGACUUGCUGCUGCUGAUUAUUGUAAAUAAAAGAUAUAAAAAUAAAAGGUAAAAUGUAAAUAUA